rnacentral:rRNA from 1 species
ACGGGUGAGUAACACGUGAGUAACCUGCCCUUGACUCUGGGAUAACCUCCGGAAACGGAAGCUAAUACCGGAUAUGACGUACGGAGGCAUCUCCUGUACGUGGAAAGAACUUCGGUCAAGGAUGGACUCGCGGCCUAUCAGGUAGUUGGUGAGGUAACGGCCCACCAAGCCUACGACGGGUAGCCGGCCUGAGAGGGUGACCGGCCACACUGGGACUGAGACACGGCCCAGACUCCUACGGGAGGCAGCAGUGGGGAAUAUUGCACAAUGGGCGCAAGCCUGAUGCAGCAACGCCGCGUGAGGGAUGACGGCCUUCGGGUUGUAAACCUCUUUUAGUAGGGAAGAAGCGAAAGUGACGGUACCUGCAGAAAAAGCACCGGCUAACUACGUGCCAGCAGCCGCGGUAAUACGUAGGGUGCGAGCGUUGUCCGGAAUUAUUGGGCGUAAAGAGCUCGUAGGCGGUCUGUCGCGUCUGCUGUGAAAACCCGAGGCUCAACCUCGGGCCUGCAGUGGGUACGGGCAGACUAGAGUGCGGUAGGGGAGAAUGGAAUUCCUGGUGUAGCGGUGGAAUGCGCAGA